GACGAACGCUGGCGGCGUGCUUAACACAUGCAAGUCGAACGGAAAGGCCCUGCUUUUGUGGGGUGCUCGAGUGGCGAACGGGUGAGUAACACGUGAGUAACCUGCCCUUGACUUUGGGAUAACUUCAGGAAACAGGGGCUAAUACCGGAUAGGAGCUCCUGCUGCAUGGUGGGGGUUGGAAAGUUUCGGCGGUUGGGGAUGUACUCGCGGCGUAUCAGCUAGUUGGUAGGGUAGUUGCGUACCAAGGCUUUGACGUGUACGCGGCGUGAGCGGGGGGUCGGCGGCCCUGGAGGGGAGACAGGCACCAUGGGCCUACGGUACGGCGCAGUAGCGUAUGGGCCGCAAUGGGGGAGAGUAUGGCGGAGUGGGGCCGAGCCAGAUGUAGCGGUGCUGGGUGCGGGAUGCCGGCUUACGGGUUGUGAACCGCUGUGGCCGGUGACGAGGAGUGAGUGACGGUAAUGGGUAAAGAAGCACCGGCUAACUACGUG
rnacentral:rRNA from 1 species